CCAGGCUGUGCUAGAAACCCACAGAAAUGGAUUGUUUGUAUGUUUUACAGAAAAUUGACCCAAAAAAAGGAAUUAAUAAAGCAACAAGUCACUAUACUCUGCGCCACUUCAUCUGAGAAGUUUCCUUGAAGCAUGCUAAAGACUUCAAUAAGACUUUCUGACUGUGUGCUACUGGAACUACGCCAUAAGGAGAUGAAAAACAAGAUGGGCAAAGGAAAAUGCUGUCCUAUCCCAAGAAAUGCAAAAGUAUUAUCAAGCAUGUCUGUGUCUCUCUUGCCAUUUUGAUAUCAGGGAACUCAUCCAGCUGUGAACCAACAGCCUUUGUAACGGAGCUUGCAGCAGGAGGACCUCUGGAAGAUUGAAGUGUUGAGGAUAAAGCUGACCUGCUACCUUCAUGAAAAUAUAAUUUAAUCAUUUCCUGUUGUCUGAAACAGCACGCUAGCAAGAAAUCAGAACGACUGAUGUUGGCAGGGACUUCUGGAGGUCACUGGAUCCCCCUAUUCAAGCAAGGGCAUCUAGAAGAGGUAUAGAAAGGAAAUAUUCAGGGUAUGAGACUGUUGCAGCCGUCUUUUUCAGCUGCCUCAUUUAUGUAUCUUCACGUAUAUAUGAAGAUAUGGAAGAUCUGAACUGGUGCUCCUCCACUUCUUGAUGCAGGAUCUCUCCAAAAGCGCUGUGUGCGAGUCUUCCCCUUAAAACUUUGAGCCCUGCAUAAAUUCUGCUGGUCAAGAGGCUCCGACUGUGACUGCAAAAGCAGGUUGUUAAUAUUGUGAGUGUAACAAGGAAUCUCACCAAGAGGUAAUGUGAGAAAUAACACUGUCAGUGUUUCUGCGUACCCCCGUCCCUCAGAAGAUCAGGGCUUUUCAAUGGAUGCACUGAUCUGCUCGUCAAUUGCACCUGCUCAGGGCUACAUAACGCUCUGGAGACAUUUCCAAAGAUGACUCUACCACAAGACAAUAGAGGCUGGCAUC